UCUCCAAAGCGCUGAGUCAAGCCAACCACCAGGGGGCGCCAGUAAAGAUUGUCUCCUGUCGCUGAGCUGAUGAAUGCGGAAGAGGUGGAGGUCAGAGUUGAAUGUUUGACAGAAAGCUGAAUAUGGAUUCCAUAUUUCAUGAGAAACAAGAGGGCUCCCUGUGUGCCCAGCACUGCCUGAACAACCUCCUGCAGGGGGAGUACUUCACCCCCGUGGAUCUGUCCUCCAUUGCUCACCAGCUGGAUGAAGAGGAGAGGAUGAGGAUGGCCGAGGGCGGCAUGGCCAGUGAGGAAUACCGGACGUUUUUACAGCAACCCUCAGGGAACAUGGAUGACAGUGGAUUCUUCUCGAUACAAGUUAUUAGCAACGCUCUGCGGGUGUGGGGCUUGGAGCUGAUCCUUUUUAACAGCCCAGAGUACCAGAGGCUGAUGAUAAACCCGAUAAAUGAAAAGGCUUUCAUUUGCAACUAUAAGGAGCACUGGUUUACUAUACGCAAACUGGGACAGCAGUGGUUCAACCUGAACUCACUCCUGACUGGACCGGAGUUGAUAUCGGACACAUAUUUAGCCCUUUUCCUCGCACAGCUGCAACAGGAAGGUUAUUCCAUAUUUGUAAUCCGGGGAAAUCUCCCAGAGUGUGAGGCGGAGCAGAUCCUGGGGAUCAUGCGGGUCCACCAGCAGCAACGACCCAGACUCAUCGGCGAGGACGAGGCCCAGACCAGCAUGGGCAGGACGUCGGCCUCUCAAGUGCAGACGGACGCGGGUUUUGUUGUGGAGGACGAGGAUGAGGAGCUGAAGAGAGCUCUGGCGCUCAGCAGGCAGGACAUGGAUGUGGAAGACGAAGAGGCCGACGUUCGGAGAGCCAUUCAGCUCAGCAUGCAGGGAGCCGUGAUGAGCAACUCGUCUUCGGAGUGCGAGGCUUUAGGUGUGAAAUCCAGCAGCGCUGAUGAAGGACAAAAAGUCCAGAGCGAGACACUGACAGCGGAGGAGCUGAGGAAGAGGAGACAAGCCUACUUUGAUCGGCAGCAGCAACAAGUUCAACCAAACAUUCCCCAACAGCCAGACACAAAUCCAGGAUCAGCAAACACCGGCUCAGAGGAAGACCAACAGCAAGAGUCCAGCCAGUGAAGUUGUGGAAAGUUUGUGUUGUUUACCCGCGGCCUGGAUUGGAACCCCUGCCUGGGGUAGCUUCGCUCCCUCCUCUAACCUUUUGCAUAUGCAAACAUAAGGAAGUAAGGACACGGUUUCCUGUGUUAGUUCACUGACCGACCACAGAGACGAGAAGAAGAGGCAGCACUUUGGUGCGACUCGGUGAAGCGCUCGGGCUCCGGCGGACUCAUGAUGCAGAAGAUCUGGAAAGACAAAAAAAACAUGCAAGUGUUGGAGGUUAAAAGAAAAAGAAAAAUAAGAGAGGCAUUCUAUGAAAGCCAUACGAGACCAAUGUUUUGGACAGAAAAAGCUUUAUAGGCGACGACAAACCCUCCUGCGUUUGGUUUGUGGAACAAAGAAAUGAUUAGGAGACCUAAUCCAUCACAACUCCUUUUUAGUCUGAAGUAAUCCAACAAUUUCUCACCGCAUCUAAGUGUCUUUGGGUCUGAAUUACACUAACGUCUGUGGAUUGUUUAUUCCUGAUCUGAGUGAUAGUUUUACUCCCAGAACACAGUUCGUCUUCAAUGUUUUCACUUUAUUCCUUUCUUUAAAUGUACAAGUAGACAUUAAAUGAAUAAAGGGUCCAGUGUGGACAGUACAGUUUUUUUUCUACAACGUUCCGUUAGAAUCUCUCAUAAAGCACUUAGUGAGAUAAGAAGGAAAUACUCAGUUUGUUAUACGUCAGAAUAUUAUUACUUGGAUUAUACAGCUACCAAACUACUUGCACAAAUUUGACAAUUUAAGUAGCAUAAAGUUGAAACCAGAUGUUCUCAUUUUUUCAAUUCUCACUUUCUGACAUCAAAUAUUCCAUCUUUUAGGUCAGUUGGGACAAAAACAAAUUCCUAAAAGCCACAAUAACGAGAUAUUUUGGUAUCUAUUUUCAUUCCAGAAGUUUCUAACAAUAGUUGCAGGAAUCUGCCGAAACAUUUUCUAUGGUACUGAAAUCAGGAAUCAAAGGUUUUCUUAUCCAACUGAACCAACUUUAUAAACACAAUGGUGGCAUUUUAAGGGUCAUUCACUGCAAAAAUACAAAAUCUUAACACAUAUUUUUUGUCUAGUUUGGAAGCAAAUAUUUUAGUACACUUCA